UGGGGAAUUUUGCACAAUGGGGGCAACCCUGAUGCAGCGACGCCGCGUGAUUUAGAAGGCCUUCGGGUUGUAAAAAUCUUUUGUAUGGGAAGAAAAUGACAGUACCAUACGAAUAAGGACCGGCUAAUUGCGUGCCAGCAGCCGCGGUAAUACGUAAGGUCCGAGCGUUGUCCGGAAUCAUUGGGCGUAAAGGGUACGUAGGCGGAUAAGCAAGUUAGAAGUGAAAUCCUAUAGCUCAACUAUAGUAAGCUUUUAAAACUGCUCAUCUUGAGGUAUGGAAGGGAAAGUGGAAUUCCUAGUGUAGCGGUGAAAUGCGCAGAUAUUAGGAGGAAUACCGGUGGCGAAGGCGACUUUCUGGCCAUAAACUGACGCUGAGGUACGAAAGCGGGGGUAGCAAACAGG
rnacentral:rRNA from 1 species